UACGGAGGGUGCAAGCGUUAAUCGGAAUUACUGGGCGUAAAGCGUGCGCAGGCGGUUUGUUAAGUCCGUUGUGAAAGCCCCGAGCUCAACUUGGGAAUUGCAGUGGAUACUGGCAGGCUGGAGUACGGUAGAGGAAGGUGGAAUUCCCGGUGUAGCAGUGAAAUGCGUAGAUAUCGGGAGGAACACCAGUGGCGAAGGCAGUGUCCUGGGGAGUACCUGACGCUCAGGUGCGAAAGCCAGGGGAGCGAACGGG
rnacentral:rRNA from 1 species